rnacentral:tRNA from 1 species
UUAAUAGAAGCUAAAUUAAUAGCACUUUAUUGUUACUAAAGAGAUUGGGGUUACCCCUAUUAAG